rnacentral:rRNA from 1 species
AUACGAAGGGUGCAAGCGUUACUCGGAAUUACUGGGCGUAAAGCGUGCGUAGGUGGUUGUUUAAGUCUGUCGUGAAAGCCCUGGGCUCAACCUGGGAAUGGCGAUGGAAACUGGGCGACUAGAGUGUGGCAGAGGGUAGUGGAAUUCCUGGUGUAGCGGUGAAAUGCGUAGAGAUCAGGAGGAACAUCCGUGGCGAAGGCGACUGCCUGGGCCAACACUGACACUGAGGCACGAAAGCGUGGGGAGCAAACAGGAUUAGAUACCCUGGUAGUCCACGCCCUAAACGAUGCGAACUGGAUGUUGGGUGCAAUUUGGCACGCAGUAUCGAAGCUAACGCGUUAAGUUCGCCGCCUGGGGAGUACGGUCGCAAGACUGAAACUCAAAUGAAUUGGCGGGG